rnacentral:rRNA from 1 species
GAGUAACGCGUGAGUAACCUGCCCUAGAGUGGGGGACAACAGUUGGAAACGACUGCUAAUACCGCAUAAGCCCACGGUGCCGCAUGACACUGAGGGAAAAGGAUUUAUUCGCUUUAGGAUGGACUCGCGUCCAAUUAGCUAGUUGGUGAGGUAACGGCCCACCAAGGCGACGAUUGGUAGCCGGACUGAGAGGUUGAACGGCCACAUUGGGACUGAGACACGGCCCAGACUCCUACGGGAGGCAGCAGUGGGGGAUAUUGCACAAUGGGGGAAACCCUGAUGCAGCGACGCCGCGUGGAGGAAGAAGGUUUUCGGAUUGUAAACUCCUGUCGUUAGGGACGAUAAUGACGGUACCUAACAAGAAAGCACCGGCUAACUACGUGCCAGCAGCCGCGG